rfam:Rattus norvegicus chromosome 12, whole genome shotgun sequence.
GGGGAUUUAGCUCAGUGGUAGAGCACUUGCUAGGAAGCGCAAGGCCCUGGGUUCAGUCCCCA